rnacentral:rRNA from 1 species
GACGAACGCUGGCGGCGUGCCUAAUACAUGCAAGUAGAACGCUGAAGAGAGGAGCUUGCUCUUCUUGGAUGAGUUGCGAACGGGUGAGUAACGCGUAGGUAACCUGCCUUGUAGCGGGGGAUAACUAUUGGAAACGAUAGCUAAUACCGCAUAACAAUGGAUGACACAUGUCAUUUAUUUGAAAGGGGCAAUUGCUCCACUACAAGAUGGACCUGCGUUGUAUUAGCUAGUAGGUGAGGUAACGGCUCACCUAGGCGACGAUACAUAGCCGACCUGAGAGGGUGAUCGGCGACACUGGGACUGAGACACGGCCCAGACUACUACGGGAGGCAGCAGGAGGGAAGCUUCGGCAAUGGGGGCAACCCUGACCGAGCAACGCCGCGUGAGUGAAGAAGGUUGUCGGAUCGUAAAGAUCAGUUGUAAGUCAAGAACGAGUGUGAGAGUGGAAAGUUCACACUGUGACGGUAGCUUAACAGAAAGGGACGGCUAACUACGUG